rnacentral:lncRNA from 1 species
GUGGCUAUUUGUGUGUGUUAUUGAAAGCAAAAAAAUGAAAAAUUUCAACUAAUGCAAGCAAACUAAAAAUCAAAGCAAAAAUAAAUUUAAAAAGUAAAAAUUCAGAAAUAUGCACCCCCACACCUAAAUCAUGCAUUGUCCUCAAUGUAAUAGAAACAUAAAAGAACAAAGGAAACUGAGUACUCCCCUGGGUGUGGUGUGCAUGGUGCGAUCCUCUUGAUCAAGGCUCAAGUAAUUGGGGAAGGGAAAAGAGUCCCAACUGCAUUGAGCAAAAAGUGUAGCAUUCCUUUUGAUUUUGUCAUAGCCCAUCCUAUUUUUUCCAUGUACUCAUGAA